GCCAGUUUGGCUCAGUGGACAGAGCGUCAGCCCAUGGGCUGAAGGGUUCUGGGUUCAAUUCCAGUCAAAGGGCA
rnacentral:tRNA from 1 species